UNGGUUGUGGCCUUGAGCCCGUGGCUUUUCGGAGCUAACGCGUUAAGUAGACCGCCUGGGGAGUACGGUNGCAAGAUUAAAACUCAAAUGAAUUGACGGGGGCCCGCACAAGCGGUGGAGCAUGUGGUUUAAUUCGAUGCAACGCGAAGAACCUUACCUACUCUUGACAUCUACAGAAGCCAGCGGAGACGCAGGUGUGCCUUCGGGAACUGUAAGACAGGUGCUGCAUGGCUGUCGUCAGCUCGUGUUGUGAAAUGUUGGGUUAAGUCCCGCAACGAGCGCAACCCUUAUCCUUGUUUGCCAGCACUUCGGGUGGGAACUCCAGGGAGACUGCCGGUGAUAAACCGGAGGAAGGUGGGGACGACGUCAAGUCAUCAUGGCCCUUACGAGUAGGGCUACACACGUGCUACAAUGGCGCAUACAGAGGGCGGCCAACUUGCGAAAGUGAGCGAAUCCCAAAAAGUGCGUCGUAGUCCGGAUUGGAGUCUGCAACUCGACUCCAUGAAGUCGGAAUCGCUAGUAAUCGUGGAUCAGAAUGCCACGGUGAAUACGUUCCCGGGCCUUGUACACACCGCCCGUCACACCAUGGGAGUGGGCUGCAAAAGAAGUGGGUAGUUUAACCUUCGGGAGGACGCUCACCACUUUGUGGUUCAUGACUGGGGUGAAGUCGUAACAAGGUAACCG
rnacentral:rRNA from 1 species